rnacentral:rRNA from 1 species
UACGGGGGGGGCAAGCGUUGUUCGGAAUUACUGGGCGUAAAGGGCGCGUAGGCGGCCUACUAAGUCGGACGUGAAAUCCCUCGGCUCAACCGAGGAACUGCGUCCGAUACUGGCAGGCUGGAAUCCGGGAGAGGGAUGUGGAAUUCCAGGUGUAGCGGUGAAAUGCGUAGAUAUCAAGAGGAACACCUGAGGUGAAGACGGGUUGCUGGGCCGACACUGACGCUGAGUGCGCGAAAGCCAGGGGAGCAAACGGG